UCAAGUCGACUGUGGACGCUGACCUUGUUUUCUGGCCGGUCAUGUCGAUCAAAUCUGCCCCCCAGCCCAUCAUUGCGCCUGCCUUCCGACCGGUCAUACCGGUCACUUCUGCCCCCCAGCCGAUCACGUACUGGAGGGCGCCGGUCGUCUUGGUCGCGCCAGUUCCUGCUGAUCGGCUCUGAUUUCCCAUCUCUGGAGCGAGACCUGCUGAACGGCCGAUUGUUAUGAUACGGGCCGUUGCACUCGGGGCAAUUAUCGGCCGAAGGCAACCUGAGGUUGCUUUCCC
rnacentral:lncRNA from 1 species